CGAGUUUUUUGACAGAAUUUUACCUCCGACCGGACUUUCCUCUACGUCCUUAUACCGGACCUAAUAAAAGUUCUGCUUAAGUUGCUUAGAAGUGUCCAUGCCAUAUUGGGAGAGCGUGUACAAGAUAUAUCCGCCUUAUCGUAAGCGCCGCAGUGCGUUCACUUCACUUCACUAGAGAGACGUCUAUACACGAUUUUCGGUGCCCGUGAACGCCAUACUCUUAAGUUUUAGAAAUUAGAGCGGAUUGGCGACGACAAUGUCACGACGAUGAUGGAGCCUAGAGUGCAAAGAAUGAGACAGGGAGAGACUGACGUACGCGGCUAUGCUCGAUCAAACGGGCCAUGAACUGGGGCUGUGAAGGAUUCUUGCUGGCUAUGUGUGGCUUAAGAAGUAAAGAGGAUCGAUGGCUUGAGAUGUCAAGCACGAUAGGUUGAAGAAGCCUGACAUAGUGGAGAUUGUAGGAAGGGAGGUGGCUCGCUGGCUAGAGAUGUGAAGAAGGAUGGGAGGAAACAAGAAAGAGUUUGGGAAGGAGAACAAAACCGAAGACUUCACUUGUCUCUUGCUUUAUCAACGCGAGCGGGAUUUUUCAGGCCAGCGUGAAGAGAUCGUUCGGGGCCAUUUUGCAUAGCAACGACAUUUGAGCAGGAUUUUUCGCAGAAAAUCGGGAUGGGCAGCCAUCUGUACAGGGAUUUAGGCGGGCAUGAGCGGGUUGCGGCAAAGGUAGCUAAAUCUGCCAUGCAUUGGUUCCCAUCUGGCUAAAUUCGCCUGUGGUUUCAAACAUAAUUCAUAAUCAUAAAUUUGAAAGAAUUUUGCACAGAGGUUUCGUUGCCAUCUACCUUCUCACCAUCCCUGAAGUACUCGGCUACACUUUCUGUGAUUUUAAGUUGUGAAGCUCCUCUCCAGCCCAAACUGGACGAACCAAAAUGCAGACCAGGAGACAGAUUGAAAUUCCAAUAAACACAGUCAUCAACCGUUGCUGCGCCAAUUCAAGCAGUCUAUCAACACGAUAGCCAGAGAUGGCAACCAAGUUGAAGGUCAGGAUAAAGAUCAGUAUGCCGUAAUCGAACCGAGCUCUUACGAUCGGAAUAAAACGAACAAAGGUUGCUGCUGAAGCUGUAAAACAAGUGGAUCCCAACUGCAAUCAUUCCUGCGCUAAGAGUCGCCAUUACUCUGUUCAAGCCUUUGUAUAUUGUGCCUCCUGCAUAAAAAAAUGAGAAGAGUGAGAUUCUUAGAAUGCCAGCGACAGAGAUGUAUAAGCAUUCAAAAACAUACCAACUGUGAAUUCAAAGAUGACAACAAUGGUCAUGAUUGCCCACAUAGCAGUUCCACCCACGCCUUGGUACAAUGGCCUAGUAUAAUAGAAGAUGGACACCAGAGUGAGUGCGAGUCCCACUUUGAUACAGUGGAUGAAUUUUCGAGGAUCAUCUACGCCCAAUUUCCAUGCAUUCUUCAUGAAUCUUGAUGAUGAUCUCAUAUUCAAGCUUAGCAAAUCAAUCAAUUGACGCCACAGUGCAAUACGGGGCUCCAAGUUGUGCUCUUCCUGUGCUGAUGGCUUGUGAGUUACUGUGACUCUCCAUUCCAGUUCUCUUGUUUCUUCUUUCUUGGUAAUCAUUUUUGCUUUCUAAAACUUUGAUGAAGGGCUUCUAUUCUGGAGGAGCUUGUCUUAGUUGUUCUACUCUGCACUCUAGUAUGGAUGGAGUCAAAUGUUAUGUUCAACGGUUGGCUUUUUAUAUAGGUAUAAAGUUAGGAUUGCUAGUAAUUUACAAUUAAGUCGGUAGUAGUGGCCAUGGCCGAACUUCUUUGUAAGGUUUUUAGAAUGAUGAUCUGCGUAGGGAACCAAAAUGGGAAGGUGCUGAACCUUUGACUUUUGAUAAGUGACCUUUCAUGGAUAA